AUUGAACGCUGGCGGCAUGCUUUACACAUGCAAGUCGAACGGCAGCGCGGGCUUCGGCCUGGCGGCGAGUGGCGAACGGGUGAGUAAUACAUCGGAACGUGCCCAGUAGUGGGGGAUAGCGCGGCGAAAGCCGGAUUAAUACCGCAUACGACCUGAGGGUGAAAGCGGGGGAUCUUCGGACCUCGCGCUAUUGGAGCGGCCGAUGGCAGAUUAGCUAGUUGGUGGGGUAAAGGCCUACCAAGGCGACGAUCUGUAGCUGGUCUGAGAGGACGACCAGCCACACUGGGACUGAGACACGGCCCAGACUCCUACGGGAGGCAGCAGUGGGGAAUUUUGGACAAUGGGCGAAAGCCUGAUCCAGCAAUGCCGCGUGUGUGAUGAAGGCCUUCGGAUUGUAAAGCACUUUUGGUGGGAACGAAGGGGAGUGUGCUAAUACCACGGUGCUAUGACGUUACCCGCAGAAUAAGCACCGGCUAACUACGUG
rnacentral:rRNA from 1 species